rnacentral:tRNA from 1 species
GCCUUCGUGAUGUAAUUGGAUAGCAUAUCCGGCUAGUAAUCGGGUGGUCCUGUGUUCGAAUCUCGGCAUAGACA